CGACCCCAGGUCAGGCGGGGUUACCCGCUGAAUUUAAGCAUAUCAAUAAGCGGAG
rnacentral:rRNA from 1 species